rnacentral:rRNA from 1 species
AUUGAACGCUGGCGGCAGGCCUAACACAUGCAAGUCGAGCGGAUGAAGGGAGCUUGCUCCUGGUUUCAGCGUCGGACGGGUGUGUAAUGCCUAGGAAUCUGCCUGGUAGUGGUGUAUAACGUCCUCAAACGGCCGCUAAUACCGCCUACUUCCUGCUGCUGAUGGUUGGGGAUCUUCGGACCUCUCGCUCUCAGAUGAGCCUAGGCGGGAUUAGCUAGUUGGUGGGGUAAAGGCCUACCAAGGCGACGAUCCGUAACUGGUCUGAGAGGAUGAUCAGUCACACUGGAAGUGAAACAGGGUCAAGACUCCUAAGGGAGGCAGCAGUGGGGAAUAGUGGACAGUGGGCGAAAGCAUGGUACAGUCAGGGCGAGUGUGUGAAGAAGGUCUUCGGAUUGUAAAGAACGUUAAGUUGGGAGGAAGGGCAGUAAGUUAAGACGUAGCGGUAGUGACGGUAACAAGAGAAUAAGCACCGGCUAACUUCGUG